GAAAUGACUCUUGGAAAUGGAUAUCUCGGCUCUCAUUAUGAUGAAGAAUGUAGCGAAAUGCAAUACUUAGUGUGAAUUGCAGAAUCCCGUGAAUCAUCGGGUUUUUGAACGCAAUUUGCGCCCAAGACCUCGAUCGAGGGCACAUCUGUCUAGGCAUCGCAU
rnacentral:rRNA from 1 species